rnacentral:rRNA from 1 species
AUUGAACGCUGGCGGAAUGCUUUACACAUGCAAGUCGAACGGUAACAGGUCUUCGGAUGCUGACGAGUGGCGAACGGGUGAGUAAUACAUCGGAACGUGCCCGAUCGUGGGGGAUAACGCAGCGAAAGCUGUGCUAAUACCGCAUACGAUCUACGGAUGAAAGCGGGGGAUCGCAAGACCUCGCGCGGACGGAGCGGCCGAUGGCAGAUUAGGUAGUUGGUGGGAUAAAAGCUUACCAAGCCGACGAUCUGUAGCUGGUCUGAGAGGACGACCAGCCACACUGGGACUGAGACACGGCCCAGACUCCUACGGGAGGCAGCAGUGGGGAAUUUUGGACAAUGGGGGAAACCCUGAUCCAGCCAUGCCGCGUGCAGGAUGAAGGCCUUCGGGUUGUAACUGCUUUUGUACGGACGAAAGGUCUUCUAAUAAAGAGGGCUCAUGACGGUACCGUAAGAAUAAGCACCGGCUAACUACGUGCCAGCAGCCGCGGUAAGACGU